UACGUAGGGUGCAAGCGUUUAAUCGGAAUUACUGGGCGUAAAGCGCGCGUAGGCGGAUUGCAAGUCGGGGGUGAAAGCCCGAGGCUCAACCUCGGAACUGCCCUCGAUACUGCAAAUCUCGAGUCCGAGAGAGGUGAGUGGAAUUCCCGGUGUAGUGGUGAUAUGCGUAGAUAUCGGGAGGAACACCUGUGGCGAAGGCGGCUUUCUGGGCCUUACCUGACGCUGAGACGCGAAAGCGUGGGGAGCGAACCGG
rnacentral:rRNA from 1 species